rnacentral:rRNA from 1 species
GUUUGAUCAUGGCUCAGAUUGAACGCUGGCGGCAGGCUUAACACAUGCAAGUCGAGCGGGGAAGGGUAGCUUGCUACCUGACCUAGCGGCGGACGGGUGAGUAAUGCUUAGGAAUCUGCCUAUUAGUGGGGGACAACAUUCCGAAAGGAAUGCUAAUACCGCAUACGCCCUACGGGGGAAAGCAGGGGAUCUUCGGACCUUGCGCUAAUAGAUGAGCCUAAGUCAGAUUAGCUAGUUGGUGGGGUAAAGGCCUACCAAGGCGACGAUCUGUAGCUGGUCUGAGAGGACGACCAGCCACACUGGGACUGAGACACGGCCCAGACUCCUACGGGAGGCAGCAGUGGGGAAUAUUGGACAAUGGGCGAAAGCCUGAUCCAGCCAUGCCGCGUGUGUGAAGAAGGCCUUUUGGUUGUAAAGCACUUUAAGCGAGGAGGAGGCUACUUGGAUUAAUACUCUAGGAUAGUGGACGUUACUCGCAGAAUAAGCACCGGCUAACUCUGUGCCAGCAGCCGCGGUAAUACAGAGGGUGCUAGCGUUAAUCGGAUUUACUGGGCGUAAAGCGUGCGUAGGCGGUUUGAUAAGUCGGUUGUGAAAGCCCCGGGCUCAACCUGGGAACUGCAUCCAAAACUGGCAAGCUAGAGUACGGUAGAGGGUGGUGGAAUUUCCUGUGUAGCGGUGAAAUGCGUAGAUAUAGGAAGGAACACCAGUGGCGAAGGCGACCACCUGGACUGAUACUGACACUGAUGUGCGAAAGC